rfam:Phaethon lepturus contig21282, whole genome shotgun sequence.
UAGCUCAGUCAGUAGAGCAUGAGACUCUUAAUCUCAGGGUUGUGGGUUCAUGCCCCAC